UACGUAGGGUGCAAGCGUUGUCCGGAAUUAUUGGGCGUAAAGAGCUCGUAGGUGGCCUGUCGCGUCGGCUGUGAAAACUCGGGGCUCAACUCCGAGCUUGCAGUCGAUACGGGCAGGCUAGAGUUCGGCAGGGGAGACUGGAAUUCCUGGUGUAGCGGUGAAAUGCGCAGAUAUCAGGAGGAACACCUGUGGCGAAAGCGGCGCACUGGACCAUAACUGACGCUGAUGCGCGAAAGCUAGGGGAGCAAACAGG
rnacentral:rRNA from 1 species